CAGUAGCCGCGGGAAUACGGAGGGUGCAAGCGUUAAUCGGAAUUACUGGGCGUAAAGCGCACGCAGGCGGUCUGUCAAGUCAGAUGUGAAAUCCCCGGGCUUAACCUGGGAACUGCAUUUGAAACUGGCAGGCUAGAGUCUUGUAGAGGGGGGUAGAAUUCCAGGUGUAGCGGUGAAAUGCGUAGAGAUCUGGAGGAAUACCGGUGGCGAAGGCGGCCCCCUGGACAAAGACUGACGCUCAGGUGCGAAAGCGUGGGGAGCAAACAGGAUUAGAUACCCCAGUAGUCCCUGUCUCUUAUAC
rnacentral:rRNA from 1 species